UUACUGAAACUUGCUACUUCUAAUCAUUUACUAAUAGCCAAGAGAUAAGUUUUAGAACAACAACAUUUUUUGUUUUAAUGUUGUUUUUGUUUUUUAUUUUAGAUGUUAAUAGUUCACAUCAACAAUUUCAAAGAGUAGAGUUUCUGCUGUUAAACCUGCUAUUGCUGUUAAAAAGAAAUUUUACACAAUUAGGGUAAGAUAUUAAUUUACUUUUUACAUUACAAAACCGGGUUUUACUGUUAAUUCUCAUGCUAUUUCUAGUUUAUGUUUUAUGUCAUAUGUUAAUAAUGAUAAUAUUUGUUAUAUUCAUGCAAAUUUUUGUGUUAAACAUUUGUAAUGGGUUCAUAAAAUUAGUGUGUCAUUAUUUAAUGAUUUUUGAUAUUGUAAGAAUGUGCUCUGAGAUGGAGAUCUUAAUUAAAACUAUAUUUACGUUAUUGUAACUUUAUGAAGGCAUUAUAUAGAAAUUAAGCAAUAAGAAAUGUUGUAGUUUAUCAUUAAAGAUAUAACGGUCGAUUACUGGUUAUAAAGAAAAAUUUCUGCAUAAAAAAUAAGAUUUUGCAUAAAAAAUAAAAUUAUGAAUCAAAAUUGAUAUGUGUAUAAGAGUUAUAAUUUAUAUCUGAUAAUGUCUUCAUUAUGUCAAUAUUAUUGUGGACUGCAACUAUAAAUUAAAACCGCUUUUGCAAGUUAUGUAAUUUAUGAUUACUAAUACAAGCAUGAAUGGAUUUAUGGAUACAAUUAAUGAUUUUAAGCUUAAGUAAAUUAGAAAGCAUUUCAUUGAUUUUUAAAAAGUUUUAAUUAAAUGUCGUGUCAAGAUUCGAAAGAAAAAAACAAGUUUAAACUAACAUUUCGUCGGUAAACAAACGACACUAAGUUCAUUUGUGGCAGUAUGGAGUAGUUUAUACCACUAUUUAGUAUUUUAAAUUCUCUAUCGUUUGAAAUACCAUAAAAUUUUAAUAAAUCAAUUAUUAAUGAGUUAUUAAAAAUAUUCAUUUCAACUAAUACAAAAAACUUAUUAUUUUAACUAUUAUCCAAAAACUUAAUUGUUCAUUAUCUCAAAAUGAUGUUUUCGGACUGUGCAUUUCCUUUGUAUACCGAUGAUAUGCUUUUAAAAUAAUAUGAUUCUAUUUAAUUACUGAGUUAUUCUAAACUUUUUGUUAAAUAAUUCCAAAAUCUAAUGAUUAAAACUAUACAGCGUAUCCUAUAAAGCAAUCUUUUUUUUUAAUGUUUUCAUAAAAACCAUUUUAAUUAAAUUUUUUUGUCCAGUAAAACUCGUUUUACUUUAAUUCAAUGUUUUUCUUGCAUUUACUGUUUUAUACCGUAAAAUUUUACGGUAAAAACGUAACCCCAAUUGUAGACGAAAUUUCGUGUGACAGUUUUUAGAACGUAUGGCGUAAGUCCAUACGUUUUAAAAAACUGUGCAACGUCAUUUUGCAUUCCACUCAAAAUAAUUUUUAUGAAAAGUUUCAAUUUAAGUUCAACCGAGGCAAUACUGUGAUGUCUUUGAAAUUAAACAAAAAUUUACUAAAAGCCAACAUAAAAUUACGUUUUUGAACAACACCAAAAAGAACAGCUGCAUCCCUACAGCAACUGCUGCAGUAUCACAAUAGGUUGCCAAAAGCAGGUAUA
rnacentral:lncRNA from 1 species